UAGAGGGCGUAUUUCUUCUUCACUAUUUUGUUUUUUCUGCUUCUCCUCACAUCUGGCUUCUGCCACAACUGGCAGCAGAAAUGCUGACCUGUCAUGAGAAAGGCUUUCUGGGGGACACGUGGCCUGGGCAGCCGCAGCAAAAGCAGCAGGAAGUACAGGAAAUCUCAUGAGACGGUCUGUUCUUGGGCACUUGCCAGCCUGGUUCUGCAGCCUCAUGAGGCAAAGAGAAGCAUCCAAGUGACUGGGGACAUCGCUGGAACAGAGUCCCCAUUCUCAGCAGUUCGAGGUCCACCCAUAACUGACAAAAUGAGCACAGGACACCCCCGUGGGGCUCCAGCCACAGCCGGUGGCCAUGGUGCUCUAUGUGGAGAUACUUUUUAUUCUAAUGGCUCCACGCGCCCAGGGAGCCCGAGAGUUAAUACUGGCUGUGAAAGGCAUCAAGCAAGGCUUUCUCUGCACGCGCUAGAAUGUGCCGGUUCACGGUUAUACUCAGACUCCUCACAUUAUCACUCCUGUGUGUGA
rnacentral:lncRNA from 1 species